rnacentral:rRNA from 1 species
CCUACGGGUGGCAGCAGUGGGGAAUAUUGGACAAUGGGCGAAAGCCUGAUCCAGCCAUGCCGCGUGUGUGAAGAAGGCCUUCGGGUUGUAAAGCACUUUCAGUGGGGAAGAAAGCCUUGGGGCUAAUACCCUCGAGGAAGGACAUCACCCACAGAAGAAGCACCGGCUAACUCCGUGCCGGCAGCCGCGGUAAUACGGAGGGUGCGAGCGUUAAUCGGAAUUACUGGGCGUAAAGCGCGCGUAGGCGGUCUGAUAAGCCGGUUGUGAAAGCCCCGGGCUCAACCUGGGAACGGCAUCCGGAACUGUCAGGCUAGAGUGCAGGAGAGGAAGGUAGAAUUCCCGGUGUAGCGGUGAAAUGCGUAGAGAUCGGGAGGAAUACCAGUGGCGAAGGCGGCCUUCUGGACUGACACUGACGCUGAGGUGCGAAAGCGUGGGUAGCAAACAGGAUUAGAUACCCCAGUAGUC